CGCGUGCGCCCGCCACAGUCCCGCCCUCAAAUCCCAUGGGUCUCUGCGAGAUGGUAUUUAAGCGUUUCAGUGUGCAGCUUCGGUCUCGUUUUUGCUGCUGCUCUCGGGUUCAGGGGCAAGUUUGAACGCCAAAGAAUCGGGAACAGCCCUUUUGUUAAAACAUGGUUCAGUUUAAAAGAACUUGUAGGUUGGAAGAUGGGACAAAAUCUUUUCCUGUGCAAAUCAAGUGUUACAGUGAUGCUCCAGCAUCUCAUCACCAAUCCUGAGGAAUUCAGCUGUGUCUCAAGGUGACUACAGACUGUCCUGAUGAUAUAUUCAUCUAUUUUAAUGAUGCCCAUUGAUAUGCCCAGGGUUGAACUACUGGAAAGAGUUGGAAGUGGAGCACCUUGUUCCUGUGUACUACUGAAAAGCUGACAGAGUUAAAAGGUGCUGUUAACAGUAACCUGUUUAACCACUAGAAGGUCCAGCACCUUCUCUGGAGCCCAAGAAUGAUUUGAGAGAAAGUGUAAGACAAGCCAUAUUUCUGCUCAACUCCAGUCUGAAGUUAGAGGUCUAAAGAAAGAACAAAUCCUGUAUGAUGGAUUCCAACUCUUGGAGGACAUCAAAAGGGGAAUUUUUUAAGUCAUUUCUUGUACCAUGUAGAAUUAACAUAAAAUUCAAAUUAACAUGCAAUCAUUUCAGUCUUUAAAUAAAACAUUUUUUGGUUUUUUUUAA